rnacentral:rRNA from 1 species
ACGCUCGACACCUACGGGGAGCAGCAGUGGGGAAUAUUGCGCAAUGGGGGAAACCCUGAUGCAGCGACGCCGCGUGAGCGAAGAAGUAUUUCGGUAUGUAAAGCUCUAUCAGCAGGGAAGAAACUGACGGUACCUGACUAAGAAGCACCGGCUAAAUACGUGCCAGCAGCCGCGGUAAUCUGAGCGGGCUGGCAAGGC